GGAAAAAUGAAAAAGCUCACCGUCUUCGUUUAUUCUUAGUUUUCCCUCGCCCGACCUAGCAGCUCCUCUUCUUCGCUGCUCUUCCUCCAUCACUGCUCUCUUGUAUCGGUCUACAAAGUACAAACCAACAACCAAAGCAGCCUCUCACCCCGUGCUUUCCCGUACCCAGUGAAAAAAUCAAAACAUCUCUUUUUUACCUCACUAUCAGAUCCAUUCAUUCCUCUCAUCUCAAAACCAUGAGAGGUUCUUCUUCCCCAGAAGAGACGGAAGCUAGAGACGCACCGCCCAAGCUAGGUUUUGGACACAAAAGAUUCUUCUUCAACCUCUCCUCCAGCUAACUUGGGUUUUGGUUGAGUUCUUCAAUUUCACGAACGAUUCCGAAGUAUUGAUUCACUACUGUUGGAUGGUUUGGGUGUUUGGGCUUCUAUCGAUUUAGAGAUGUGGGUGACUGAAAUAGAGUUGGGUCUUACUCUAAUUUAGGAGUUGGGUCUCACACCUGGCAUCGUAUCUCUCAGUCUCCGUGAAUUGAACAUCCAGAGUUGUCAGGGAUUAUCAAGCCUAGAAUUGGGCUCGAUAACUGCACCUCUCUUCAGCACUUGUGCAUAAGGGAUUGCCCUAAUCUGAUAUCAAUUCCAAUCACGCAGUGCAUGCCGUCUCUCUGGAGAUUGGAUAUCAUCAGAUCGUGUGAGAGAUUAUCAAGCCUAGUUGGGCUCGACUACUGCAACUCUCUUAAGCAAUUGUAGGUAAUGAUAUGUAAUAAUCUAAUAUCAAUUAUUGGUGUUCAGAGAUUAUUAAGCCUACCGAGUGGGCUCCAAUUAUGCACCUCUCUUCAGAAAGUAUAAUGUGUGUUUGUUCUUGUUCCCUCUAUCACUUUCAUCUUGUUAUUUAAAUUAUUGGUUAUCCUCAUGUUUUGUGUCCCAUUAUUUCUCUUCCUGUAUAAGUACUAGUUUUUGUGAUGGGGAAGUUCAUCCUCUAGUAUAACCAAAAUAGACAUUGAUUAUGUUGAUAUGUUAGAUUCUCAUCUAGAACGUAGAUAUUUAAAUUUGAUUUAUCAGCACUUCUGGUAUGGACUCAAUUUCCAGGAUACCAGUCUAAAACUCCAUUAUUAACCAGAGGAAUAUUUAUGUGGAAGCAAGAGGAUAGAGACCAGACGGUAAAAAUGGAAAUUGCCAAAAGUCUUCUCCUACCUUCCACUCACAAUUACUCAAUUUGUCAGAGAAGCUUACAUCAACUCAUUUAGAGCUAGGCACGAUUCCCAAUGGACUUUCUUCAAGUCUCACAUUGUCUCAACUUUUUCCAGAACAGUUGAGUACACUUAUGUAAUUGCUCAAUCAUGAUUCUUUAAUUAGCUUUUAGCUUUCUUUAGCGAAUCUUUUCCUUCUCACUUCUCCUCUUGCAGUGAUUCUCACUAGAAAUAUAAGUUUUCCUUGCUUCCUGGAGGCUCCUUGCUCAAGUGGGGCAUUCUCAGGAUAAGAACUAAUUAACCUGCAGACCAGAGAUAGCUAGUUAUUACAUUUACUAUCAGCUGUGUGUGGUCCUGCAUUCAUAUCAUGCAGUCACUUCCAUGGAUUGGUUGGGAUGUUUAAUCACAGAACUUAUGUGUCAGUGAAUAUUAUUUUGGUAAAGAUUAUGCGAAUGGAAAUUUUGAUUCACUGAAGUAUUCAUGAAAGAUUGUCAGAAAGUUGUGUAUGUGCGUUGCAUUAUUAGUAUUUUUAACAUUUGAGCUAUAUGUUCUAAGCUUUUUUCAGCAUUUUCUUAUACCAUCUUAUAGUUCUGAGUCCAGUGAACUUGUGAUUCCCAACUAAUUUUAUGGUUAGGACACAGUUUAAUAUAGCUCUCAAGAUUCUUCUCUGCUUAGUAAAACGACAUUCCUUUUCAUUUUUUGCAAUUCAAUCAGAUUAUAGUUAUGACUCUUGACAACUUCCUUGCUACUAGGUUGAAUGUUCUGUUACUCGGUGACUUCCAACUAUUGUUGGGUUUUGCUAUUUUAUGUCAUCGUAUUGGUAGCCUCUAGUUUGUCUAUGGUCAAUGUACUACUCUCCUCCUAUGAAUUCAAUUGAUAAUGUUUAGUUUCUUGCUUUAGAACUAAAAUAAUGUUAACUUUUCCGGUAUGUUAACUUUUCACUUUCCUGGGGAUUUUUUUUGAUACGAUCACUUUUCGGUUUAUUUCGGUUUCUGUUUUCCGUGUCAUUUUAGAUUCCAAUAUCUUUUUCUUUGUUUAUUGAAGAUAGCUCUAAGUAAUGAUUGUUAGAUAUUGUUAAGAAACAAAAUAAAAUUAAAUAGGCUGCCCAGAAUUGAAUAUCAAGUUAAAUUACAUUUGUUGAAAUUGUUUACAGAUAAUAGUAACAAUGAGUUAACUACCAAUUAAGACUUGCGAAGAAUCCAAGCCUUCAGUUCGCCAAUUCCUUGUCAUGCUUUUCUCAGAUCUGUUUUUGUACAGGAUUCCACUUUCUUUCCAAAUUAGGGAUUUAGGUUUUCUUCUUUGUCUGAUGAAGGAAGGACUGAUGAAGGAGAUGCAGAGGUCGAAGGAGGGACAGAUGAAGAAGAUGCAGAGGAAGAAGACGGAGGUUUCAAAGUUGGGAAAGUUGAAAUGUAGGGAUGAACAUGAUUCUGUACAAGAUGUAAAAGCAGAUGACCUACGGCAGAUGCUUCUAGCCAUGACAGAGGAGUAUUUAUAAAUCUGUUCUCAAAUCUAAAGGUUCAAUUAAUGAGGUCAAUCAAUAUUUGUUCUGCUAUUUGCCUUUAACACCUUAUACUUUCAUGUUUAUACACUGGGAAUUUUGUUCUAGAUACUGCAUGCUUGACCAUGCUUAGAUGUUUCAUCUAGUUUCUCAAUGAAUUUUGUUCCAGGGGUUGGCUGUUGUUGCAAUAUUGAGGCACUUUAGAUACCCUUGCAGGUUCAUUUAGCACCUGGACGCAAAUUUAAUUUUCAAAAAUAUAACAAAAGAUCAUUAGAAGAUGACUUUAAGGUGGUUGUGGGAAUCAUGUGCUAUUGCCAACCUUUUCUUUCUUCAUGUUCUGGACUACGAUGACGCUCUAUUUGCUACUCAAUGUUCGUGAUGGUUUCAACAAUGAAGAAGUCGAUCUUUGAUGAACAAACUAACAAGGCCUUAAGGAAAUUGCAAAAGAAUGCUCAAAAGAAGAGAAGGCAUCAUGAUGUGGUUCGAGCUGAAUGGGCAAAUCAUGUUAUACAGUUCGAAUUUUGGUUCUGUUUAAGGUAGAUGAGUAGCACUUGGAACUGCUUUUGUGCAUUCAUAUAUAACUGAUGGAAAGUGUUGAUGAACUUAAAUUAUGCAUGCAGUUGCUCUGUCUAGCUACUCUUUCUUUACCUUAUAGGUUUUUGACUUGGUGCACUAGGUAAAUGAUCGAGAUAAGAUGGUUUUUUGGUUCUCUUGAUCAUAAUGUAACUGUUGGCUAGGUUUAGAGUUGGAACUAUGGAUUGUAUUUUGGAUGAUGUUGAUGCAAUUAAUGAAACGAAGCCAUCAUUUUCAAUGCUGAUUUUAGUCCAA